rnacentral:rRNA from 1 species
GAUGAACGCUGGCGGCAUGCCUAAUACAUGCAAGUCGAGCGAACAGACGAGGAGCUUGCUCCUCUGACGUUAGCGGCGGACGGGUGAGUAACACGUGGAUAACCUACCUAUAAGACUGGGAUAACUUCGGGAAACCGGAGCUAAUACCGGAUAAUAUAUUGAACCGCAUGGUUCAAUAGUGAAAGACGGUUUUGCUGUCACUUAUAGAUGGAUCCGCGCCGCAUUAGCUAGUUGGUAAGGUAACGGCUUACCAAGGCGACGAUGCGUAGCCGACCUGAGAGGGUGAUCGGCCACACUGGAACUGAGACACGGUCCAGACUCCUACGGGAGGCAGCAGUAGGGAAUCUUCCGCAAUGGGCGAAAGCCUGACGGAGCAACGCCGCGUGAGUGAUGAAGGUCUUCGGAUCGUAAAACUCUGUUAUUAGGGAAGAACAAAUGUGUAAGUAACUAUGCACGUCUUGACGGUACCUAAUCAGAAAGCCACGGCUAACUACGUG